AGAGUUCCAUUCUGGCUCAGGACGAACGCUGGCGGCGUGCUUAACACAUGCAAGUCGAACGGAGCACCCUUGACUGAGGUUUCGGCCAAAGGAAAGGAAUGCUUAGUGGCGGACUGGUGAGUAACGCGUGAGGAACCUGCCUUUCAGAGGGGGACAACAGUUGGAAACGGCUGCUAAUACCGCAUGACGCAUUCGGAUGGCAUCAUCUGAAUGCCAAAGAUUUAUCGCUGAAAGAUGGCCUCGCGUCUGAUUAGAUAGUUGGCGGGGUAACGGCCCACCAAGUCAACGAUCAGUAGCCGGACUGAGAGGUUGACCGGCCACAUUGGGACUGAGAUACGGCCCAGACUCCUACGGGAGGCAGCAGUGGGGAAUAUUGGGCAAUGGGCGCAAGCCUGACCCAGCAACGCCGCGUGAAGGAAGAAGGCUUUCGGGUUGUAAACUUCUUUUAAGUGGGAAGAGUAGAAGACGGUACCACUUGAAUAAGCCACGGCUAACUACGUGCCAGCAGCCGCGGUAAUACGUAGGUGGCAAGCGUUGUCCGGAUUUACUGGGUGUAAAGGGCGUGCAGCCGGGCAUGCAAGUCAGAUGUGAAAUCUCAGGGCUUAACCCUGAAACUGCAUUUGAAACUGUAUGUCUUGAGUGCCGGAGAGGUAAUCGGAAUUCCUUGUGUAGCGGUGAAAUGCGUAGAUAUAAGGAAGAACACCAGUGGCGAAGGCGGAUUACUGGACGGUAACUGACGGUGAGGCGCGAAAGCGUGGGGAGCGAACAGGAUUAGAUACCCUGGUAGUCCACGCUGUAAACGAUGGA
rnacentral:rRNA from 1 species